UACGUAGGGACCGAGCGUUGUCCGGAAUCAUUGGGCGUAAAGAGCGUGUAGGCGGCCACUUAAGUCCUGCGUGAAAUCUUGCGGCUCAACCGCAAGCGGUCGUGGGAAACUGGGUGGCUAGAGUGCGGGAGAGGAGAGUGGAAUUCCUGGUGUAGCGGUGGAAUGCGCAGAUAUCAGGAGGAACACCAAUAGCGAAGGCAGCUCGCUGGGACGUUACUGACACUAAGGCGCGAAAGCGUGGGGAGCAAACAGG
rnacentral:rRNA from 1 species